UACGUAGGGGCCUAGCGUUGUCCGGAUUUAUUGGGCGUAAAGAGCUCGUAGGCGGCUUGGUAAGUCAGGUGUGAAAUCUCCACGCUCAACGUGGAGGGGCCACCUGAUACUGCCAUGGCUUGAGUCCGGUAGGGGAGUGUGGAAUUCCUGGUGUAGCGGUGAAAUGCGCAGAUAUCAGGAAGAACACCCGUGGCUAAGGCGGCUCUCUAGUACGGUACUGACGCUGAGACGCGAAAGCGUGGGGAGCGAACAGG
rnacentral:rRNA from 1 species